rnacentral:rRNA from 1 species
GUGGCUUCCGGAGCUAACGCGUUAAGUCGACCGCCUGGGGAGUACGGCCGCAAGGUUAAAACUCAAAUGAAUUGACGGGGGCCCGCACAAGCGGUGGAGCAUGUGGUUUAAUUCGAUGCAACGCGAAGAACCUUACCUACUCUUGACAUCCAGAGAACUUAGCAGAGAUGCUUUGGUGCCUUCGGGAACUCUGAGACAGGUGCUGCAUGGCUGUCGUCAGCUCGUGUUGUGAAAUGUUGGGUUAAGUCCCGCAACGAGCGCAACCCUUAUCCUUUGUUGCCAGCGGUCCGGCCGGGAACUCAAAGGAGACUGCCAGUGAUAAACUGGAGGAAGGUGGGGAUGACGUCAAGUCAUCAUGGCCCUUACGAGUAGGGCUACACACGUGCUACAAUGGCGCAUACAAAGAGAAGCGACCUCGCGAGAGCAAGCGGACCUCAUAAAGUAUGUCGUAGUCCGGAUUGGAGUCUGCAACUCGACUCCAUGAAGUCGGAAUCGCUAGUAAUCGUGGAUCAGAAUGCCACGGUGAAUACGUUCCCGGGCCUUGUACACACCGCCCGUCACACCAUGGGAGUGGGUUGCAAAAGAAGUAGGUAGCUUAACCUUCGGGAGGGCGCUUACCACUUUGUGAUUCAUGACUGGGGUGAAGUCGUAACAAGGUAACCGUAGGGGAACCUGCGGUUG